GGCCAUACCACAUUGUAACACCAGUUCUUAUAUGAUCACUGAAAUUAAGCAACAUUGAGCCUGGUCAGUAUCUAGAUGGGUGAUCACUUGAGAAUGCCAG